rnacentral:lncRNA from 1 species
UUUGGGUUGUGGUGGGGCUCGUCUGCAUCCCCCGGCACAGGAAGAAUGCAGAGCAGCUGGAGCAGGUCCAGAGGCUUGGCUUGUGCUGCACCUCGAGGAGGCCUCAUUGAGACCUGCUGCAGCCUCUGUGCCCAAACACCCCCUCUUUUGGGGGGAGGCUGAUCCGGCCCAGCCGCAUGAUCGCAGUCAGGUGACGACGCCGAGCACAAAAGCAGCGCGGGAUAAGCAGCUCAGCGUGGCAGAUCAGCUGCUGCCCCGGCCCCUCUGCGAGCUGCUACUGCUCAGGGAAAAUGAGCACCUGGCCCCCUCCUCUGCUCUGGAGCCUCACCACGGUGUGUCUGACAGGUAUUGCUUUAGGCCAGACAACCACCACUCAGGCCCCUGUUGCAUCAACCUCGCUACUUCUGAGUGCUGCUACCACCCAAGUCCCUGUUGCACCAACCCAAAUGUCUUCUGUUGCCACCGCGACCUCAGCCCCCCCAUCCCCAUCUUCUGCUGGAAUGCUCUCAGUUGGAACAGUGACAAACCUCACCAGCCCUACAGUUGUGCCAUCUGCUGUCUCAAGCACAAACUCUCCCUCUCCAACUCUGCCCACCACCCCACGCAUCACUGCACUCACCUCUGGGAUUGCAACCACCCCUCAUGCACCCACAGCACCAAUGGCCACAUCCAGCAGUCCCUGGGCCACCCCUCCAGAUGUAACUGCAUCUCCUGGGGUCCCAUCAGUGGUCCCGUUUCUCAGCACCAUUGAGCCCUCAAACUGCAGCAGAGUGAAUGUGACAACAUGUGCUCCUUGCUCCCCAGGGACCAUUCCCAGCAAUGACACCUGGAGCUGCUUGUGCUGCACGGAGGGCUCAUGUGUGGACCCUGGUGCCUGUGCUCCUUGCCCUGUGGGACACUACCAGCCUGAGAGGGGACAGCAGCAGUGCCUGCCGUGUCCAAAGGGACGUUACGCCAACACUACGAGGAGCACCGUGUGCUCACCCUGCCUGCCUGGCCACUAUGCCAACGAGUCGGGGGCCGCAGCCUGCAGCGCGUGCCAGAAAGGUUAUUUUAGCUCACAGCAAAAUGCAGCUUCUUGUCUGCCUUGCCUGCCUGGAUCGUUCUGCAACACCACCAGCUGCACGCUGUGUCUGGCCUGUCCUGCUGGGCGUGAGGCUCCACGGGAGGCUGCUGAGGAGUGUACACUGUGCCGGGCAGGUACGUUCAAAGGUCUGGGUGAUGACACCUGCAAGCCCUGCGAGCCAGGGGAAUACCAACUGCAGCAGGGCCAGGAGAGCUGUGACCUGUGUCCAGAGAACCACUACUGCCCUAGCCCAGAUGUGAACCCAAUCAAGUGCCCUCCUGAUGCCUUCUGCCCUGUGGGCAGCACUGAGCCCCAGUACUGCAUGGAGAUCUUCCUGUACAAGGUGGGCAGCUCCUGCCAGCUGACGCCACUGGUGAUCGUCCUCCUGGCCCUCUUCUCAGCAGGCGCAAUUCUUAUAAUCUUUGUACUAAUUCUGAGAAGAAGGCAAGAACACAGCACAAAGUCUUUGAAGUCCCUGCUGCUACCACAAGGAUCAGAGCAGCACACAACGUAUGGAGUGAUGGAGCACACAGAGCCGGUGUAUGCUGGCUGGUAGAGGGGGAAAGGCAACCUGCAAGCACUGUGUUCCCUUUUCUGUAGGGUAAUGCACGCGUGUGCAUAUGUGAAAGAAGUUUGACCGUCACCAACCUAUUUCCGUAUUGCUAAAAUAAGCACAGAGAAAUGAAAUGCAAGUCAUUUUUCAGCUGUGCCUUUCUGUGCUGACCAACCUGGCUGGAUGCUGUUCUACAUCAAAUGGAUUUACAGCAGAAGCUUCCCCCUCUAAUUCCUAGCUCCACUCGCAAUAAAUACUUCUUUUUUUCCUUUCCUUAAGAAAUUUCAGCAGUCAGCUCAACUGCUGGAACAAAGAACAGCUGCUGCAGAUACUGGACUUCCCACAGCACAAUUGCUUCUACCCGAGCAGGAACUAACACAAAUAUUCCUCCUUUAAGGAAGAUGCACGUUUACUUAUUUAUUUGCCCUUCUCAAAACUUUACCUAUACUUGAAACUGAGGGUCAGCUGAAAAAAGGAAUCCCACACUUUUCCCUUCCUCUCAGCUGUGGGAAAACACGUGCAGCUGAACUUAUGGUUGACUCCUGGACAAAUGUGUCCCUUCUGUUUCCUGCUGUGGUGCUGCGGUCUCUCAUGCAGUGCUUCAUAUUACUCCACAGAGCUACAGAAGCAACACCCUCCUCCUCCUUCUCCAGUGCAAUUCAUUCGCAUACCAUGCAGGCUGCAAAGCCCUGCUCAGAUCAUCCAGCUGUGACACUUCCACAGCGCUGUGCUUCAUCAGCUCUGAGAGCCCUGGUAAAAAUAGUACUUAAUAUUGUGAGAGCUGUGCUUUCAAGUGAGUGUGCACGGAGGUGGAAGCAGGUGUUACUUCUCACUGGAGCCCUUUCCCUGAGCUAAAGCAGCAGCAGCCAGCUGAAGGAACCCAGCUGGUGGGGGUUAAGUGGCUGCUGCCCUCCACUGCUCAUUCUUCUCAUCCCUGGGGAGGUUAUUGUGCUUUUCAAGAAAAAGGAAAUAAACAACCGCCAAAAAAAAAGCAGUUCUCUGAUCUGUUUCAGAUCUGUCAGAUGAGUAAACGGACGGGAAGAGAGGUGUGUUAUCCUCUGUGGUAAGCAGUAAUGCAGCUGGUAGCCCUGCCACCUGGAUCAGCAGCAGCAUGGACCAAUCACACACCAAGCUCAGUCCCACCCCAAAACCCUUUCUGCCCUCAAUCUCCACUUUCCCACUGAAAGCUGGUUACCUCCUGUCCUCAUGCUUUGUUCUUUCCUUCCCACUCCUCCUCACUCCCAGCUACUUGCUUGAAAUGUGCUGGCUCUCAGAAUCCCCCGUUCUAAGAGGAAAUGGGUCCUUUGCAGCAGUGACCACCUGGGGACAGGAUGGGGCCCUCUCCUUGUGGCUUAUGUGGCUGCAGGAAAUGAUGCCCAACACCCUCUUGUGUUCUUCAGUCCUGAGAGCUGGGGCACAGGGUGUGCACAGCCCUUCUGCUGGGCUCUCUGAUGCUGUCCAUAGCACGCAGGCACUAAGUUUCUCAGUGGGCACAGUCAGGGCUUUCCAGAGGAGCAGCAAAAGGAUGGAGUCCUGAUAACAGAGCACCAGGUUAUCUCAGCAGAACACUAAACCAACAGUGCCAAAGCACAUUUCGGAUUUGCUCUUAAAGAAGCACAGCUGCAGGCAGGCACAGAGAUUCCACCCAUGAAGGAAACCUGGCUGAGAAAGAAAAAUAUGGGUGAAUUAAAACCUGACCCACCAGGAACACCAGCAGUGACAGCUGAAUGGAGCUGGUAGGACUGCGUGAUUGCAGCUCAAAAUAUUUGAAGUCUGUCAAAUUCUGAGUAACAGAAGACAGCUCUGUAACAGGAGAA